rnacentral:lncRNA from 1 species
AUCGGGCGGCUAGGCUCUCUGAGGAGGCUGCCACAGUGAAGCAACCGUGACAAGUGGUGCCCGACCAGGGACCUGAACGAGGAAGGUCUGCCAGAGCAGAGAAAGUGAAACUGAUCAGACGAACUACGAACCCCUGGACGGGAGAGUCUGCCGGCGGAGAAUAUAAGGAGAUGGACAAACCGUGUGGGUGCCCUCCAGGUGUGUGUGACCAUGGAACGGGAGACCGGAGGGAUCCAUGGUAUUCAACCGUGGGCCUGUUACCUCCAGUACGAGCCAUGAGCCAGCGGAAUCUGAAUGCAAAGACAGAACAAGGGCCGACCGGAGUCACAAUGACAUCCAACCCCAUAACAUGGGGACAGAUCAAGAAAACGACACAAGAAGCUGAGAAACUACUGGAGCGCCAGGUCUAUAGGAUCGGGUGAACCACCAACCGGCAAUUGAAAGC